GUGGGGAAUAUUGGACAAUGGGCGAAAGCCUGAUCCAGCCAUGCCGCGUGUGUGAAGAAGGUCUUCGGAUUGUAAAGCACUUUAAGUUGGGAGGAAGGGCAGUAAGUUAAUACCUUGCUGUUUUGACGUUACCGACAGAAUAAGCACCGGCUAACUUCGUGCCAGCAGCCGCGGUAAUACGAAGGGUGCAAUCGUUAAUCGGAAUUACUGGGCGUAAAGCGCGCGUAGGUGGUUUUGUAAGUUGGAGGUGAAAUCCCCGGGCUCAACCUGGGAACUGCCUCCAAAACUGCAUGACUAGAGUACGGUAGAGGGUAGUGGAAUUUCCUGUGUAGCGGUGAAAUGCGUAGAUAUAGGAAGGAACACCAGUGGCGAAGGCGACUACCUGGACUGAUACUGACACUGAGGUGCGAAAGCGUGGGGAGCAAACAGGAUUAGAAACCCUGGUAGUCC
rnacentral:rRNA from 1 species